rnacentral:misc_RNA from 1 species
GCUAGUAAUCGCGGAUCAGCAUGCCGCGGUGAAUACGUUCCCGGGUCUUGUACACACCGCCCGUCACACCACGAGAGUUUGUAACACCCGAAGUCGGUGAGGUAACCUUUUGGAGCCAGCCGCCUAAGGUGGGACAAAUGAUUGGGGUGAAGUCGUAACAAGGUAGCCGUAUCGGAAGGUGCGGCUGGAUCACCUCCUUUYUAUGGAGUAUAUUACUMUAGUCGACGAACAACUUCGGUUGUUUGGCGCUUUGGAUCUUUUGUUCAGUUUUGAAUGAACUCAAUUCAUUCAAUUUCAUAUUUGACAAAGAGAAGCAAGAAGAUCGAGGAUGGGAAAUGUUCGAUUGAAGAAGCGUACUUGCGUACGUGACUGAUUGAGAAUCAUGAACCAGACAAAGAGAUUCGCUGCUUAUCUAUUGUUAAAAUAGCCCGUUAAAGGCAUGGAACCACGCUAAGAACGCCACGUCUUGUGGCAACGCCUGGUACCGACCUCCUGUGGGCAGGUUCUUUGAAAACUAAAUCAAGAAACAACUCAAAUAAGUUUUGUUCAUCGGUUUUAAACUGUUUGAACGAGACGUCAAGAAUUCUUGAGCAACCUUUAUUGCUUAAACAUGGUCGAGCGUAUCGCACGCAGACACCAUUUAGGAUAAGUUAGAAAGGGCGCACGGUGGAUGCCUUGGCACUAGGAGCCGACGAAGGACGGGACUAAUAC